rnacentral:tRNA from 1 species
GGAGAGGUGUCCGAGUGGUUUAAGGAGCACGCCUGGAAAGUGUGUGUACGAUUUAAAACCGUACCGAGGGUUCGAAUCCCUCUCUCUCCG